GGAGAUCUUUCUUUAGAGUUAAAUGUUUUAUUGAGACUGAUGCUGGAUUUUCUCCAACACCUUCCAAGACAGAUCUGGCCCAGCACAGCCCAUUUACCAGUGCUCUUAGAAAAAUUGGCAGGCCUCUUGAUGGAGUAAAAGGAAUAAAUGUUAAAAUCUACAGAGAAGAGAAGUUGUUGACUCCUUUGCAACUGGAAAAGGAGUAUUCUGAUUGGAUUAUCCAAAUGCAUGAUCGUUAUGAUGAAGAGGUUGACAG